UUUUGUGGGCUCUCCAAGGGGUAUAAACACGUCAUAAGUGCAAUAAUAAUAAUAUCUGUAUCUUACGACCGAAGGUUCGAUUAUUACAGACAAACCGAGACAAGAAGAAAGGAGUCUUAAGAACCAUUACCUGCUCCAGCCUAAGAACGGGGGCACAGACACCGCAAUCCCGAUGAGCCAGGUGCACAGCACUACCGCCAGCGCGUGCUUCGAGCUGAAACAGAAGUUUCCCAUCGGCUUACAGAUAACAAUGUACCUUUCGAAGGCCAGAAAUGCCAGGGACCAGCCGGUGACUAAACCUGAGGGAGAGAGCAGUAAGGAUGACAGAGGUGUCAGCAGAGAGCUCUUUGGUCGUGAUGUCAAGGAUACCUUAAGCUAACAUCUGGCCCGAAAAAGAAGGACCCAACUAUAAAGUUGG